rnacentral:lncRNA from 1 species
UGUUAAAAUGAGCAUAGAGCAUGGCAUGAUAGAAUUAUUUCGAUUCUAAUAGGAAUAUUUUGAACUUUUGUACUUCGAAGCGGACCUAUAGACAGUAUAGUAGACGCUCGAAAUGUCGCCAUUUGAUUUGAUGAACAAAAACGUUAUAGAAAAAUCAACAGUUUAUCAAUAAAAAAAGAACAGAAACAUUUAAACUUACUUUUAGAAUGUUUUUAUUUAAUUUCCUAGCGAGCAACACCAACAAAAAUGUCCAUUUUGAUCUCCGACGUUGUUCAAAAUUCAUCUGACGUUGCAAUUUCAAUUGUGACGUCAAUCACGUGCAGCCCAUGUUCUAUUCGAAUUAGAACAUGGCUUUGUACUCA